ACACGGCCCAAACUCCUACGGGAGGCAGCAGUGGGGAAUAUUGGACAAUGGGGGCAACCCUGAUCCAGCAAUGCCGCGUGUGUGAAGAAGGCCUUCGGGUUGUAAAGCACUUUUAUCAGGAACGAAACGCGCUUGGUCAAUAGCCAGGUGAACUGACGGUACCUGAGGAAUAAGCACCGGCUAACUUCUGCCAGCAGCCGCGGUAAUACGAAGGGUGCAAGCGUUACUCGGAAUUACUGGGCGUAAAGGGUGCGUAGGUGGUUGUUUAAGUCUGCUGUGAAAGCCCCGGGCUCAACCUGGGAAUGGCAGUGGAUACUGGGCAGCUAGAAUGCGGUAGAGGGUAGUGGAAUUCCCGGUGUAGCAGUGAAAUGCGUAGAGAUCGGGAGGAACACCAGUGGCGAAGGCGGCUACCUGGACCAGCAUUGACACUCAAGCACGAAAGCGUGGGAGCAAACAGGAUUAGAUACCCUGGUAGUCCACGCCCUAAAUGAUGCGAACUGGACGUUGGGAGCAAUUUGGCUCUCAGUGUCGAAGCUAACGCGUUAAGUUCGCCGCCUGGGGAGUACGGUCGCAAGACUGAAACUCAAAGGAAUUGACGGGGGCCCGCACAAGCGGUGGAGUAUGUGGUUUAAUUCGAUGCAACGCGAAGAACCUUACCUGGUCUUGACAUGUCGCGAAUCGUGCAGAGAUGCGCGAGUGCCUUCGGAAUGCGAACACAGGUGCUGCAUGGCUGUCGUCAGCUCGUGUCGUGAGAUGUUGGGUUAAGUCCCGCAACGAGCGCAACCCUUGUCCUUAGUUGCCAGCACGUAAUGGUGGGAACUCUAAGGAGACUGCCGGUGACAAACCGGAGGAAGGUGGGGAUGACGUCAAGUCAUCAUGGCCCUUACGGCCAGGGCUACACACGUACUACAAUGGUCGGUACAGAGGGUUGCAAUACCGCGAGGUGGAGCCAAUCCCAGAAACCGAUCUCAGUCCGGAUCGGAGUCUGCAACUCGACUCCGUGAAGUCGGAAUCGCUAGUAAUCGCGAAUCAGCAUUGUCGCGGUGAAUACGUUCCCGGGCCUUGUACACACCGCCCGUCACACCAUGGGAGUGGGUUGCUCCAGAAGCAGGUAGUCUAACCGCAAGGGGGACGCUUGCCACGGAGUGGUUCAUGACUGGGGUGAAGUCGUAACAAGGUAACC
rnacentral:rRNA from 1 species